rnacentral:rRNA from 1 species
GACAGCUUGCUGUUGGUGGAUGAGUGGCGAACGGGUGAGUAACACGUGAGUAACCUGCCCCUGAUUUCGGGAUAAGCCUGGGAAACUGGGUCUAAUACCGGAUAUGACCAUCCCUCGCAUGAGGGUUGGUGGAAAGUUUUUCGAUCGGGGAUGGGCUCGCGGCCUAUCAGCUUGUUGGUGGGGUAAUGGCCUACCAAGGCGACGACGGGUAGCCGGCCUGAGAGGGCGACCGGCCACACUGGGACUGAGACACGGCCCAGACUCCUACGGGAGGCAGCAGUGGGGAAUAUUGCACAAUGGGGGAAACCCUGAUGCAGCGACGCAGCGUGCGGGAUGACGGCCUUCGGGUUGUAAACCGCUUUCAGCAGGGAAGAAGCCGUAAGGUGACGGUACCUGCAGAAGAAGUACCGGCUAACUACGUGCCAGCAGCCGCGGUAAUACGUAGGGUACGAGCGUUGUCCGGAAUUAUUGGGCGUAAAGAGCUCGUAGGUGGUUGGUCACGUCUGCUGUGGAAACGCAACGCUUAACGUUGCGCGUGCAGUGGGUACGGGCUGACUAGAGUGCAGUAGGGGAGUCUGGAAUUCCUGGUGUAGCGGUGAAAUGCGCAGAUAUCAGGAGGAACACCGGUGGCGAAGGCGGGACUCUGGGCUGUAACUGACACUGAGGAGCGAAAGCAUGGGGAGCGAACAGGAUUAGAUACCCUGGUAGUCCAUGCCGUAAACGUUGGGCA